CCUACGGGGGGCAGCAGUGGGGAAUAUUGGACAAUGGGGGCAACCCUGAUCCAGCCAUGCCGCGUGUGUGAAGAAGGCCCGCGGGUUGUAAAGCACUUUCAGUGAGGAAGAACGCCUGUUGGUUAAUACCCAUCAGGAAAGACAUCACUCACAGAAGAAGCACCGGCUAACUCCGUGCCAGCAGCCGCGGUAAUACGGAGGGUGCGAGCGUUAAUCGGAAUUACUGGGCGUAAAGCGCGCGUAGGUGGCUUGAUAAGCCGGUUGUGAAAGCCCCGGGCUCAACCUGGGAACGGCAUCCGGAACUGUCAAGCUAGAGUGCAGGAGAGGGAGGUAGAAUUCCCGGUGUAGCGGUGAAAUGCGUAGAGAUCGGGAGGAAUACCAGUGGCGAAGGCGGCCUUCUGGACUGACACUGACACUGAGGUGCGAAAGCGUGGGUAGCAAACAGGAUUAGAUACCCCUGUAGUC
rnacentral:rRNA from 1 species